GACGAACGCUGGCGGCGUGCUUAACACAUGCAAGUCGAACGGAAAGGCCCUGCUUUUGUGGGGUGCUCGAGUGGCGAACGGGUGAGUAACACGUGAGUAACCUGCCCUUGACUGUGGGAUAACUUCAGGAAACUGGGGCUAAUACCGGAUAGGAGCUCCUGCUGCAUGGUGGGGGUUGGAAAGUUUCGGCGGUUGGGGAUGGACUAGCGGCUUACCAGCUUGUUGGUGGGGUAGUGGCUUACCAAGGCUUUGACGGGUAGCCGGCCUGAGAGGGUGACCGGCCACAUUGGGCCUGAGCUGCGGCCCAGCCUACUCCGGGAGGCAGCAGAGCAGAAUAUUGCACAAUGGGCGGAAGCCUGAUGCAGCAACGCCGCGUGCGGGAUGACGGCCUUCGGGUUGUAAACCGCUUUCGCCUGUGACGAAGCGUGAGUGACGGUACUGGGUAAAGAAGCACCGGCUAACUACGUG
rnacentral:rRNA from 1 species